UACGGGGGGGGCAAGCGUUGUUCGGAAUUACUGGGCGUAAAGGGCUCGUAGGUGGCCAACUAAGUCAGACGUGAAAUCCCUCGGCUUAACCGGGGAACUGCGUCUGAUACUGGAUGGCUUGAGUUUGGGAGAGGGAUGCGGAAUUCCAGGUGUAGCGAUGAAAUGCGUAGAUAUCUGGAGGAACACCGGUGGCGAAGGCGGCAUCCUGGACCAACACUGACGCUGAGGCACGAAAGCGUGGGGAGCAAACAGG
rnacentral:rRNA from 1 species